GAAGCCGGAAUUGCUAGUAAUGGCAGGUCAGCAUACUGCCGUGAAUACGUUCCCGGGCCUUGUACACACCGCCCGUCACACCAUGAGAGUUGGAGAUACCCGAAGCCUGUGAGCUAACAAACGAGGCAGCAGUCGAAGGUAGAAUCAAUGAUUGGGGUGAAGUCGUAACAAGGUACC
rnacentral:rRNA from 1 species